rnacentral:lncRNA from 1 species
GCAGAUGGUGCUUUUUUGUUUUACUAACUGAAAGAUCAGAUGUAAAUAAUAUACACAAUAUAGACUAUAAAGAUCAUUGAAGGUGAGUUUUCUGUGCACAGAGAAUUGCUAUACUGUGGAGAGUUUCUCACCUGUUAGUGAUAUGUCAAGGAUUUUUUUUGUUUUAGCUUCUUAAUUUUUUUCCAUAUUUCAGUUUGCUUGCUGCACCGUCUAUCUCCCUAGUCAUAUUUAUUUCAAGCACUAUAUUCUAGAAGGUUGAGUAGUUUAUAUCUUAAUUCAGGCUCCUUCCAUGAAGAGCCACAAUAUUUGGUCUCCAGUUGAAUGGACAGAGGAGAGUGGCUGAUAAUUUGGCAUCACAAGAAUCUUCUGAAGUACGUUAUGAUUCAAUUUUCCGUCUCUCAAAAAAAAAGGAAAAGAAAAAGAAAAGAAAAUUCAAACUCAAUAUUAUCAACACCAUAGAAACAGUAGGCUGAAUCCUGACUACAGUGAAGUAAAAAUUUCCAACUCAGCAUCCUUCCUGGAAAAACAUCUUGGACGCCCUUCAUCUUCCAAGAUUGUGUACAACAGUGAGUAAUCAAGCAUAUUCUGUCUGCUAUUGAGAAGAGGUUUUUAGCACACAGCUUCACACAGAAAAGGUUCCGUUUUGUGAAUAAAGAUCAUGUUUGCUGUAC